rnacentral:rRNA from 1 species
GAGUUUGAUCCUGGCUCAGGAUGAACGCUGGCGGCGUGCCUAACACAUGCAAGUCGAGCGGUAUAUACUUUAUCAAAUCUUCGGAAGAGAGACGGUAUAGAGAGCGGCGGACGGGUGAGUAACGCGUAGGCAACCUGCCCCAUACAGAGGGAUAGCCUCGGGAAACCGGGAUUAAAACCUCAUAACGCGAGAGGUUCAUAUGGACCUUUCGCCAAAGAUUUAUCGGUAUGGGAUGGGCCUGCGUCUGAUUAGCUAGUUGGUGGGGUAACGGCCUACCAAGGCGACGAUCAGUAGCCGACCUGAGAGGGUAAUCGGCCACAUUGGAACUGAGACACGGUCCAAACUCCUACGGGAGGCAGCAGUGGGGAAUAUUGCACAAUGGGCGAAAGCCUGAUGCAGCAACGCCGCGUGAGCGAUGAAGGCCUUUGGGUCGUAAAGCUCUGUCCUUGGGGAAGAAUAAAUGACGGUACCCUUGAGGAAGCCCCGGCUAACUACGUGCCAGCC